AUUGAACGCUGGCGGCAGGCCUAACACAUGCAAGUCGAGCGGAUGAAGGGAGCUUGCUCCUGGAUUCAGCGGCGGACGGGUGAGUAAUGCCUAGGAAUCUGCCUGGUAGUGGGGGAUAACGUCCGGAAACGGGCGCUAAUACCGCAUACGUCCUGAGGGAGAAAGUGGGGGAUCUUCGGACCUCACGCUAUCAGAUGAGCCUAGGUCGGAUUAGCUAGUUGGUGGGGUAAAGGCCUACCAAGGCUACGAUCCGUAACUGGUCUGAGAGGAUGAUCAGUCACACUGGAACUGAGACACGGUCCAGAAUCCUACGGGAGGCAGCAGUGGGGAAUAUUGGACAAUGGGCGAAAGCCUGAUCCAGCAAUGCCGCGUGUGUGAAGAAGGUCUUCGGAUUGUAAAGCACUUUAAGUUGGGAGGAAGGGCAGUAAGUUAAUACCUUGCUGUUUUGACGUUACCAACAGAAUAAGCACCGGCUAACUUCGUG
rnacentral:rRNA from 1 species